rnacentral:rRNA from 1 species
GUCCACGCCGUAAACGAUGUCUACUAGCCGUUGGGGAACUUGAUUCUUUAGUGGCGCAGCUAACGCACUAAGUAGACCGCCUGGGGAGUACGGCCGCAAGGUUAAAACUCAAAUGAAUUGACGGGGGCCCGCACAAGCGGUGGAGCAUGUGGUUUAAUUCGAUGCAACGCGAAGAACCUUACCAGGCCUUGACAUCCUGAGAACUUUCUAGAGAUAGAUUGGUGCCUUCGGGAACUCAGUGAC